UACGGAGGGUGCAAGCGUUGUUCGGAAUUAUUGGGCGUAAAGCGCGUGUAGGCGGUUGUUUAAGUUCAACGUGAAAGCUUAGGGCUUAACCCUGAAACUGCGUUGAAUACUGGAUAACUUGAGUGCCGGAGAGGAAAACGGAAUUCCUGGUGGAGCGGUGAAAUGCGUAGAUAUCAGGAAGAACACCAGUGGCGAAGGCGGUUUUCUGGACGGCGACUGACGCUGAGACGCGAAAGCGUGGGUAGCAAACAGGAUUAGAUACCCUGGUAGUCCACGCGGUAAACUAUGGAUACUAGGUGUGGGGAGCAUCGACCCUCACCGUGCCGCAGCUAACGCAUUAAGUAUCCCGCCUGGGGAGUACGGCCGCAAGGUUGAA
rnacentral:rRNA from 1 species